AGUGAACGCUGGCGGUAGGCCUAACACAUGCAAGUCGAACGGCAGCACAGGAGAGCUUGCUCUCUGGGUGGCGAGUGGCGGACGGGUGAGGAGUACAUCGGAAUCUACUCUGUCGUGGGGGAUAACGUAGGGAAACUUACGCUAAUACCGCAUACGACCUACGGGUGAAAGCAGAGGAUCUUCGGACCUUGCGCGAUUGAAUGAGCCGAUGUCGGAUUAGCUAGUUGGCGGGGUAAAGGCCCACCAAGGCGACGAUCCGUAGCUGGUCUGAGAGGAUGAUAAGCCACACGGGAACUGAGACACGGUCCAGACUCCUACGGGAGGCAGCAGUGGGGAAUAUUGGACAAUGGGCGCAAGCCUGAUCCAGCCAUACUGCGUGGGUGAAGAAGGCCUUCGGGUUGUAAAGCCCUUUUGUUGGGAAAGAAAUCCAGCUGGCUAAUACCCGGUUGGGAUGACGGUACCCAAAGAAUAAGCACCGGCUAACUCCGUGCCAGCCGCCGCCGUAA
rnacentral:rRNA from 1 species